rnacentral:rRNA from 1 species
GUCUACAGCCAUGCUACCCUGAACAAGCCUGAUCCCGUCUGAUCUCGGAAGAUAAGCAGGGUCGGGCCUGGUUAGUACUUGGAUGGGAAACCACCUAGGAAGACCAGAUGCUGUAGGUG